rnacentral:rRNA from 1 species
UACGUAGGGUGCGAGCGUUGUCCGGAAUUAUUGGGCGUAAAGAGCUCGUAGGCGGUCUGUCGCGUCGGUCGUGAAAACUUGGGGCUUAACCCUGAGCUUGCGGUCGAUACGGGCAUGACUGGAGUUCGGCAGGGGAGACUGGAAUUCCUGGUGUAGCGGUGAAAUGCGUAGAUAUCUGGAGGAACACCGGUGGCGAAGGCGGCAUCCUGGACCGGUAUUGACGCUGAGGAGCGAAAGCCAGGGGAGCAAACGGG